CCACAAAGUUAGCAGCGUGAAGUGGAUGAUGACGUGGUGUCAUUCCCAGAAAGUCUUCUGCUGUUGGUAUCUCGUGAUGCAUCUUGACAGUGUGAUGGCAUCCCACAGCUCUCUGUGCAUCUUCAGGCAAAUGUCACACACUGAAACUAAACAGGAUCUUUUUUUUCUUGUUCAUCCGACGUGCUGUUUUCUGUGCCCGAGAUACAAAUCUGUAUUUGAAAAUGCCUUAACCCUUUGGAAGGACAACCCUUCCUCUCUGUGCCCCAGGAGGGAGUUUUGCAGCAGAUGUGGGGGACGUUGUGUUGGCGCUGGCACCGAGGUCAUUCUGCAUGCUCAGUGCACUCCCAUUGCAAAAGGUACCAAAACAUAUUCAAAGUCAGUUCCUUGUCAAAAGAUGAAAGUAGAGGACAAAGCAGGAACAAAAAUCUUCAUGGAGCGAACAAUAUCAACAUCAAGUCAUGGGAUUUGGAGGCUGUUCCAGUUUCCUACUUUUAUGCACUAUAACAAGACACUGAAACGUAAUUGCAGAAUUCAGGUAAAGCAAUUCCGAUGUGUUUUAUCAUCGAAGAAAGAAAAAUAAUUUCCAUGACAAACUGGCAAAGCUGUGUUGCUGUUUAUGAAUCACUGUUGGAUGAGACUCUAAGAACUGAAGAGGAGUAAUCAGUAAUAAACCUCAAACCUUUGGAGGCUAUUGGCUGCCCAUCAGCACUGCAAAUUUUGGGUACUCUACUUUGUGUACCCAAACAGAAAGGUAAGAGCUGAACACUAGCCUUUGCCUUUUCUAAAUCUCAUCUUCCCACUUAGACAUCCUCAUACAUUGAGCAAACAGCUCCGCUUCCUGAGCUACUUACUCCAGUUUCUCAACAAGAAGGGGUCAAGCUUGACCCCAUCAGAUAAAAGCAAUGUUUUCAGUUCUUUAAUUUUGCUCAUUGCUUUUGGAGCUGCAGGCUUGAAUCGGUCCUUCUUUUCAGGGUUUUCAGUACCUGUAACUGCAGUUCAGGGAAAGUUGGGCUUGGUGGAUUUCAGGCUUUUGGGGCAGAAGGCAGUAUGCCCAAGGCUGCGAGGCCUGGCAAGGAACCCCACAGCUGGCAGCCCUAGAUGGAAGUGGGAGUGUGUUUAUGCCUUCAAAAGCCAGCAAAGGGAGCCUUAGUGGACCCUGUUGCCUUGAUGUGGAGUCUAGAUUGAAAAAGCAAGAUUGUUUAUUAGUUUAAAGGGGUAGCAGCUAAGGGCCUGGGCAGAGAAGACAGGCCACGCAUGCACAAACAAAAGUCGGAAUUGAGAAGCAGGCUAUGGCAGGACACCAAACUGAACUCACUUGCCAGGUUCAUUUGGCUUUGCCUGCUCAUUUUCCACUUUUUACAAAUAUUUCUUUCUCCCAUCUUGCUGUGUGAAAGAGCUGGAC
ensembl:lncRNA